GCCCCAGUGGCCUAAUGGAUAAAGCAUCGCCCUCCUAAGGCGAGGAUUGUGGGUUCGAGUCCCACAUGGGGCA